CACAUGUCACUAAAAUAGAGCGCC
rnacentral:siRNA from 1 species